rnacentral:lncRNA from 1 species
CGCGACCUCAAUCAUCUGAUCACAUUUUGCACAUCUUUCAAAGCAUAAGUACCUCUUCUAUCCAUCCGCAUAGAUUACUAAGCUCAUGUUAUGUUUUAAAAGGUAUGGAAAAAUGCAAUCCAAUGGUUGAGGCUAUGAAAGAAUAUCGAUCAUUCUUUUACUUGAAAGAUACAACAUGGUCCCCAUCCAACAUGCCCCC